rnacentral:piRNA from 1 species
UGAAGAACAGGUUAGGAGAUGUUUGGUACCU